UAGGGGGUAGCAUAAUAGGAAGUGCGGGGGGCUUUGAUCCCCCAGGUACAGGUUCGACUCCUGUUCCGCUAA
rnacentral:tRNA from 1 species